CGUCGGGGCCGCAGUCUCCUUCCUCCGACACCGAUGCGGUGACUCCUUAGCCGCCGCCACGACUCCUCCGCCCCUAAGAACUUGGCCGCGACUCCUCCCCUAACCCCUCUCCGACUCCGCCGUGACAGGAGAGACGAAGCUAUUAACUCAGAUAUGCCUUGCUUUGUCGGCACUUCUUCUCCGGGUGGCUGAGCAUAAAAAGCCCAUUGAGUAGCUAUUCUCUAGUCUCAACAAACUGCAGAGCCAGGAGAACGGGAAUAUUGCUGUGCUGGAGAUAGUAGAUUAUAAAAAAAUGUUGCGACUUAAGCUUGCUUCUGCUACAGCUGGGGUGGGUUGUAUAUGUUUAGUGAAAUUCCUGUGAUCAUUCUUGCCAUUUUCAGAAUGCAGAUCAAAAUUGGUCGCGGAGAGACAGCUCAGUAGUAUAUACGGCCUUACAUCAUAUACGGCCUUGAUGUAAUUCUGGAUCAAUGAUGUAAUUCUGGAUCAAUGAUGUAAUUCUGGAUGUAUACUAUCAUGUUGAAUGUGGUUACGAAUUA